UUGCUCACUUCAGCAGCACAUAUACGAAAUUUGGAACAAUACUGAGAAGAUUAGCAUGGCCCCUGUGCUAAGAUGACAUGCAAAUUCAUGAAGUAUUGUUAUUUUUG